UGGACUUUACAUGCGCAGAAUAGGUGGGAGGCUUUGAUAAUAAUCUUGCGGGAUUAUUUGAGCUAUCAGUGAGAUACCACUCUUGUAAUGUUAGAUUUCUAACUUUGUACCAUUAUCUGGUCAAAGAACAGUUUCAGGUGGGCAGUUUGACUGGGGCGGUCGCCUCCUAAAUGGUAACGGAGGCGUACAAAGGUUUCCUCAGGUCGGUCAGAAAUCGAUCGUAGAGUGUAAAGGCAUAAGGAAGCUUGACUGUGAGACCUACAAGUCAAACAGGGACGAAAGUCGGUCUUAGUGAUCUGACGGUACUGAGUGGAAAGGCCGUCACUCAACGGAUAAAAGUUACUCUAGGGAUAACAGG
rnacentral:rRNA from 1 species